AUUGAACGCUGGCGGCAUGCCUUACACAUGCAAGUCGAACGGUAACAGGCGUUCGGGUCCUCACGAAUGGUGGACGGGGGCGUAAGGCAACGGAAUGUGCCCCCAGGCGGGGGGAAACGCAUAGAAAGCUGUGCCAAUACCGCAUAUGAUCUGGGGAUGAAAGCGGGGGGCCUAGCAGCAAAGAUUGGCCUCGCGCGUCUGGAGCGGCCGAUGCCAGAUUAGGUAGUUGGUGGGGUAAAGGCUUACCAAGCCGACGAUCUGUAGCGGGUCUGAGAGGACGACCAGCCACACUGGAACUGAGACACGGCCCAGACUCCUACGGGAGGCAGCAGUGGGGAAUCUUCCACAAUGGGCGAAAGCCUGAUCCAGCAACGCCGCGUGCGGGAAGAAGGUCUUCGGGUUGUAAACCGCUUUUGUUCGGGACGAAAAGACUCUGGCGAAUCCCUGGGGCUGAUGACGGUACCGUAAGAGUAAGCACCGGCUAACUACGUG
rnacentral:rRNA from 1 species